UACAGAGACUGCAAGCGUUAUUCGGAUUCACUGGGCGUAAAGGGUGCGCAGGCGGCCGAGUGUGUGAGGCGUGAAAACCCGGGGCUUAACCCCGGAAUUGCACCUCAAACUACACGGCUAGAGCAUUGGAGAGGGUAGCAGAAUUCAUGGUGUAGCAGUGAAAUGCGUAGAUAUCAUGAGGAAUACCAGAGGCGAAGGCGGCUACCUGGACAAUUGCUGACGCUCAGGCACGAAAGCGUGGGGAGCAAAAGGG
rnacentral:rRNA from 1 species